AGUGUGAAUUUCAUAGCUAUAGCAAAAGCAGCAAUGGCGACGAGUGAGGAGAAGACCAAAGAAGGGAACAACCUACUGGGGUCGCCAACCUUCAAGGAGCUCGACAAUGGUCGCUUCCAGUGCGUCGAGACUGGGCACCAAUUGCUUGCCAAAGACAUUGAAACCUACUCUCAGAGCAAACGGUGUCGUUUGGGUCUCAUCGAAUUCGCACUCUCUCAUAAUAAACCUCCUCUCAACAUGUUCAAGCAGGACCCUCUUUCUCGUUCAAAGUUGGUGUGUAAGCUAACGGAGGAUACCAUCAAUAAGUCGGAGGAACACAUUUGGAAGCAUAUCAAUGGGAAACGAUUCCUCAACAGACUGGAGGAAAUGGAAGAAGGAAAGCUAAAUUUAAAUAAAAUGGAAGAAGAGCUGGAUGAUCAGGAACCUGAGAAAGCAUCUAAGCCUGGCAAAGAUGGAGCCAGGAAGGAGAAGAAGGAGAAGAAAAAGAAGAAGAAAAAGGAGGUGAAGGUGGAGGAGGACGGUGAUGAUGAGAUUAUCUCUGAAACACCCAAGUCUCAUAGUGAGGAAAGUGAUUCUGAAGAAGCUGAGUUUUGGAUCCCUCCACCAGGAGCACGCUGGGAUUUUGAUGAUGGCGGUGACAGAUGGGGAUCUGAUUCGGAGUCAGAGAGCAAUGAUGAGAACAAAAGUGAUGAGGUUGAUGGAAUUGUUGAAGAUGGUGACGAGGAGUCAGAAGAGAUCUCAAUGCGGACAAAAAGAAUGUCCAUAGAAAUUGGACCAAGCAGCUUUGCCUCAAGAAAGAAGAAGAGUAAGAAGAACACUGCAUGAUCUGACCACCUUUGCUUCAACUUUAAAGAGCAUCUGAUGUAGAAAAGUUUUUAUAUUAAACACAGAGAGCAUGGUGAAAGAGAAACGAUAUCUGAAGGUUUCAAAAACACAAUUCUUCUUCCUUGCACUUGGUCAAUUUUCAUUAUUCCCGUAGUCUUUUUUGCUUUGUAUCUCAUUUGUGGGACAAAUGGGUGAGGAUUGUGCCACUAACACAUCUUUUCCUUUAAUGUACCACCCAAGUAAAUGGACAUGGUUGAACCGAAAAGAAAUAGAUGUUGGAGGCACUCUAGUAGUUGGGUUUCAUUUGGUGUAAUCCUAAAUUAAGUUUUUUGAACUCCUGUAGAAUAUGAAUUUUUGCGUUUUGAUCAAUUCUUUGACAUUGUUGUAUAUCUAUGGCACUGAACUGAUUGCCUGUUUUCUUCUGAUGAAAUAUAGCACAAAUUGAAACAGAAGCGGGCUUGGAUAAUAUACAUGAACAGCAUAGACAUUAGACAACAUUAGCAUUACACAAAAUACUUCAAAACAAAUAAAACAGAAAUCAAGUAAAGUUGCAAAUGGAAUUUAUUCUGACAUUAACCCAUACUCAAUAGUAGAGUUUUGGAGACGAAUAGAUAUGGUCAUGGAGAGGAGUGGAAGACCCUUUUUUCCAGGAAAACAAGUCCUGUAGUAGAGGAACAAUAGGCUUCUUCUUCAUCAUCUUAUAAUUCCUCUCUCUUUUUCCUCCACUCCCAUAAUAACCAUGUUGAGAACCAAUGGUCAACAUCUGAGCCAAAGAGGUAGAGUCCUCCAUCCUUAUCAUCGACCACGGAUCCUUCUUGACAUUCCUCUCUGCUUCCUCCGGAUUUGAUCUCAUCGAACUGAUAGCAUGAUGAUCACUACUAGCCGCUGCCUUUCCUGCUGCGGCCGCCUCAGCCUGAGCCAACUUGGACAUGUUCUUGUGAAGCUCUGCAUUCAAGGUUGCCAAUGCCACCUCGGUUUCAGACUCUCUCUCCUUGAGCAACUUCAACUCCACCUUGGUUUCCUCAAGCUCAGCCUCAAGUUUCUUUAGACUAUCCAAAAUAAGAUCACUUUCUUCACUAUGUGGGUCAGCACUGGUACUUGGUGAGAUGACAAACUUGUUCCUUGAUGAAGAAGUUUCUGUUUCUUGCAUAGUGUAAAAUGGCGGCAGCUGUGGCGGUUUAGGGGAUGGUGAUGGUGAGAAGAACUCUCCUAGGAGAAGCCGCUCUCCGAAGACGGCAACAGCUUCCUUGACGGAGCUGAAGGGUCUUGAAGUGUCAACAUUGGCGCGGUAAUCAUGUGGCACUGGAACGACUUGAAGAUUUUGGGUCUCCAUUGAAAGAAUUGAAGGUAGGAGACAGAAUGUGGUUUGAGGAGUGAAUAUAUUUGAUACAUGAUUGGGAACUUGGGAUCAUGAGGUUGGUUAUUUCUUCGCUUGCACUUCAAGUGUACGGACCCUUCAUCAGUAGAGACUUGGUUUCAAUGUCAAGACAAUAUAAGUGUGUGACAUGAAUUAAGG